UACGUAGGGGGCAAGCGUUGUCCGGAAUCAUUGGGCGUAAAGAGCGUGUAGGCGGUUCGGUAAGUCGGCUGUGAAAAUCCAGGGCUCAACCCUGGGAUGCCGGUCGAUACUGCCGGACUAGAGUUCGGAAGAGGCGAGUGGAAUUCCCGGUGUAGCGGUGAAAUGCGCAGAUAUCGGGAGGAACACCUAUGGCGAAGGCAGCUCGCUGGGACGUUACUGACGCUGAGGCACGAAAGCAUGGGGAUCAAACAGG
rnacentral:rRNA from 1 species